CGUGGCACUGUGAGCUCACACAGGAAGGCCGUUCUGGAUUGUGCGAGCAACCAGAGUCCCACGACCCUCCUGCAGGGCAGGGCCACGGCUCUUCCGAUCCUUCAGAAUCUGACAAGGAGCAAGAUUUGACCAUGCUACUCCUGACUUCAACACUGGCUUCUCGCGGCUCCCAGGGAUGAAGUCCAAACCCUCAGCACGGCGCACAAGAUAUGAUGGCAGGUGUGGCAGCAGCCAUGCUGCAACCAUGAAGGAUUGGCCAAGAGAACUGCCGAGACGUCGGACCUGACAUCAGUGAGUCAUUGAUCCAACUCCAGCAACAACAUAUGACUGGACUUACUUUUGAGAGAAAUAAACUCAU